AAUGUCAGAGGCAAUUC
rnacentral:misc_RNA from 1 species